AUACGGAGGGUGCAAGCGUUACUCGGAAUCACUGGGCGUAAAGCGCGCGCAGGCGGUCUUUUAAGUUGGAUGUGAAAGCCUACGGCUCAACCGUAGAACUGCAUCCAAAACUAUUAGACUAGAGUGUGGGAGAGGAAGAUGGAAUUAGUUGUGUAGGGGUAAAAUCCGUAGAGAUAACUAGGAAUACCAAAUGCGAAGGCAAUCUUCUGGAACACUACUGACGCUGAGGCGCGAAAGCGUGGGGAGCAAACAGGAUUAGAAACCCGGGUAGUCC
rnacentral:rRNA from 1 species